AUGGAGUAUGGCAGGUACCUGGAGGAGAGCGAUCCCGGCUGGCAUCAGCAAAUCAAAGAGAAAACACAGGCCGCACAGAGGAAGGUCUGGACAAUAAUCAAUAUACAGCUGUCUUGCAUUUUUUUAGCUCCUUUUAAAUCAUCAAGUUGUUCAAAUGUGAGACAUUGAGAUGGUUAUGAAACUGGAUCAGUAUGAAAAAAUAAACUUGUUCUUCUCAACAGCGGAUGGAGGUAUAUUUGAGGUCAUGUCUACAGAAUUUAGAAGAACUGAGCAAGUCCUCUCCAGAAAGACUUUUACUUUCACAGGGUUUGUUCUCUUCCUCACUCACUUUAAAAAAUGAUCUUGUCACAUUGAUUCUUCUCUGUCUUUUUGGGGAAAUCCUAUUUUUCAUUAUCUAGUUGGCUAAUACACUCCAAGAACAUGACUUCAGCAAGUGACUUUUGUGGGAAUCUUCCACAAUCUAUUUCCCAUAGCCAUGUUGAACUGUUAAAGCAUCGUACAACUGGUCUUCUUGAGCUCCAUGCACACUCAUUCGGCAUCUAUUGCUGUUUGCAGGGUUUGCCAAGAAGCCACAGACAGUUUCUGCUCUUCGAGACAACAACGUGGAUGUCUCCUCUCAUCUCCCCUGUAGACCAUCUUCUUGGCUCACCCACACUCCAUCCCAGACAGCAGGGUUUCCUAUCAACAUGCCCUGUCAACCCCAACCCUCUCAUGUCCCUCCACCUUACCUCCCGCCACCCCCCAUCUUCUCUCAUCCCCACCAAUCCCAGGUCCACCACCUCGCCUCCACGCCCGGUAAUCAUCACCCCUGGCCUCGGCAGGAUCCAACAGGCUGGGCUUCGCCUCAGUGCGACAACCCCUGGUCCUGGACUACAGGUGCCACUGGGAUCCCCUCCGUCUCCGACGCUCUGUGGCGUCAGCUGCACACGGAGGAACCUGCUCAUGAGAGGGAGGUGGAGGCUGAGACAAGAGGUGCAGCGAGCUCAAAGAGAGAGGGAGGUGGUGGAAGCAGGAGCAGCCAUUGCUCUCAGGAGCUGGACAUUAAUCCGGUUCGUCUGUCCAGUGGAUACGCAGAGAGCGGUGAGAGUGGCAGGGACUCAAGUCAGACGAGCAGCGAGAAGAGGAAGAAGAGAGAGAGGAGAGGGAAAACACAGCGUUCCUCCUCAGACGGUGAAAAGUGCAACUCUCAGGAGUCUUCUAGGACUUCCAGUGCUAUUGUCAUCGCUGGAGAAACAUUGGUCCAAAGCUCAGAGAGCGAUGCCUCAUCAGAGAAAUGCAGCACGAGUGGUAGCAGGAGGACAGCGAGGAGAAGUGGGGGACUUGCCGUUGGGUCACCGCCGACAGAGAAGGCGGCAAACGAGAGGACCCAGAGCGAGAGAGACGACUGUGGGAGUCACAAAGAAGGGAGACACUCUGCCGGUGAGGAGUCAGGGAGUCCGGUUGAGGAAUCCAUGAGUGAAGAUGCAAAGAGUCAAAGUCCUGAAGAUCGAUCAGAAAGCCGCGGAGAGGAGGAAUCAGAAAGUGUUAGUGUAAAGACUGAAAAUGGAGACGCAAAGACAGAAAAUCAGGAGAGUGGCAGCAGUGCAGAGCAAAGCAGCGCAGAAGAAAAGGAUGAGGAAGAAGAGGAGCAUAAGAACGAUCUUGGAGAAGGAGCCAAUGGAGAUGGUGAGGAAGAGAGCAGUCAGAGAGAUGAAGAGAAAGACGUGAGACACGUGGAUGAUGAUGAUGAUGAUGAUGUUUCUGCCAGAGAGAACACAACAGAGGAUGAAGAGGAGACAGGAGCAGAGGAUGACUGGGUGGAUGAGGGAGACAAAGAGAGGUUAAAGGACGAAGAUGGUGAGAGCAGAAGACAGGAUUCUUCCUUCUCUCAAGAUGAAGAUGAGAACGGAAGAGAUGAAAACAAGAUAGAGUUAGAGGGGGAGGGGUCUGUUGAAGAGGAGGAUGGAGAAGAAGAAGACGAAAAGGGGAGUGAGGGGGGAAGUGGUUCAGACGACAGUAUCAUCUCACCACAAGAAAACAGGUCAGAUAUUGAAGGAAUUCAACGAUUUCCUUUGCAAAUAACUGAACCUGACGAAAUGAAAUUUAUUCUGUUUUUUUUAGACAAAAAAGGUUGCACAUUAUUCCCAAGGAAGCAGCGGAAGACGACGGCGACGGCGAUGAGAAGACGGGGAGUAAACCAGGAUCAUCAGACGAGGACGAGUUCAUCGAGGACGAUAUUGAGAAUCUCCUCGCACCCCAAGAGCAAACCAAGAGAGCAGAAAAGGACCUGAAAGUUGACGACAAACCUAAAG
rnacentral:lncRNA from 1 species